AUACUUACAUGGCUAGAAAGUCAACUGUGAUAUAAGAUGGUUCCUUAAGGGUGAGGAUCUUCCAUCACACUGUCGUAGGGCUUGACUUCCUUCAUUAUUCCAAAUUUACAUAGAUAAAUUAGCAUAAUUUAUGUCAGUGGGGAUCUGUGUCCGCACUAAUCCCCA
rnacentral:snRNA from 1 species